rnacentral:rRNA from 1 species
AGUUUGAUCCUGGCUCAGAACGAACGCUGGCGGCAUGCCUAACACAUGCAAGUCGGACGCUCUUGCGGUUUCGGCCGCAAGGGAGUGGCGCACGGGUGAGUAGCGCGUGGGAACCUGCCCUGUUGUGGGGGAUAACCGGGGGAAACUUCGGCUAAUACCGCAUACGCCCGGAGUGAUCCGGGGAAAGAUUUAUCGCAGCAGGAGGGGCCCGCGUCGGAUUAGGUAGUUGGUGGGGUAACGGCCUACCAAGCCUGUGAUCCGUAGCUGGUCUGAGAGGAUGAUCAGCCACACUGGGACUGAGACACGGCCCAGACUCCUACGGGAGGCAGCAGUGGGGAAUAUUGGACAAUGGGCGCAAGCCUGAUCCAGCAAUGCCGCGUGUGUGAAGAAGGCCUUCGGGUUGUAAAGCACUUUUAUCAGGAGCGAAAUACCACGGGUUAAUACCCUAUGGGGCUGACGGUACCUGAGGAAUAAGCACCGGCUAACUUCGUGCCAGCAGCCGCGGUAAUACGAAGGGUGCAAGCGUUAAUCGGAAUUACUGGGCGUAAAGCGUGCGUAGGUGGUUUUUUAAGUCUGCUGUGAAAUCCCCGGGCUCAACCUGGGAAUGGCAGUGGAUACUGGAAAGCUAGAGUGUGAGAGAGGAUGGUGGAAUUCCCGGUGUAGCGGUGAAAUGCGUAGAGAUCGGGAGGAACAUCAGUGGCGAAGGCGGCCAUCUGGCUCAACACUGACACUGAGGCACGAAAGCGUGGGGAGCAAACAGGAUUAGAUACCCUGGUAGUCCACGCCCUAAACGAUGCGAACUGGAUGUUGGUCUCAACUCGGAGAUCAGUGUCGAAGCUAACGCGUUAAGUUCGCCGCCUGGGGAGUACGGUCGCAAGACUGAAACUCAAAGGAAUUGACGGGGGCCCGCACAAGCGGUGGAGUAUGUGGUUUAAUUCGAUGCAACGCGAAGAACCUUACCUGGCCUUGACAUGUCUGGAAUCCUGCAGAGAUGCGGGAGUGCCUUCGGGAACCAGAACACAGGUGCUGCAUGGCUGUCGUCAGCUCGUGUCGUGAGAUGUUGGGUUAAGUCCCGCAACGAGCGCAACCCUUGUCCUUAGUUGCCAGCACGUAAUGGUGGGAACUCUAAGGAGACUGCCGGUGACAAACCGGAGGAAGGAGGGGAUGACGUCAAGUCAUCAUGGCCCUUACGGCCAGGGCUACACACGUACUACAAUGGUCGGUACAGAGGGUCGCAAUACCGCGAGGUGGAGCCAAUCCCAGAAAGCCGAUCCCAGUCCGGAUCGAAGUCUGCAACUCGACUUCGUGAAGUCGGAAUCGCUAGUAAUCGCAGAUCAGCUAUGCUGCGGUGAAUACGUUCCCGGGCCUUGUACACACCGCCCGUCACACCAUGGGAGUGAGUUGCUCCAGAAGCCGUUAGCCUAACCGCAAGGAGGGCGACGACCACGGAGUGGUUCAUGACUGGGGUGAAGUCGUAACAAGGUA